rnacentral:ncRNA from 2 species
UAAAAAGUACAUUCUAGCUUCUAUAUAAUCCCGUAAAUAUGGUAUGGGAGUAUCUACCGGAGGGCCGUAAACCUUUUGACUAUAGAAGGUGCAGGAUGGUAA